GUGUUAUAUGAAAGGAGAGGAUAGCACUCCCCUUGACAAGGAUGGAAGAGGCCCUCAGGCCUGUACAACAUGCAUAAAGUCCUUUACUGAUCACCAGUUCAUAUUUAU
rnacentral:ncRNA from 1 species